CAGUGUGUGGUCUUUGAGGAGUCCAGUGUGCGGCUGGGGAGCUCAAAGCUCACGCAGUCUACGCCGGAGGCCACGCUAGGCGCAGCGGUCCCAGCAACGAUGUGCCGGAGGGAGAGGUUGGAAAACGCUGGGAUCCUUGCAGGAAGGGCGGGCCGGACGCAGAGGUUGUGAAGUUGGGUCAGGUUGUAACGAGGGGUGGGGGGGGGGGGGGAAGGCAGGAACAUUUUGGAUGUUACGCCCUUUCAAAGGAGAAGUUUAACACAGCGAGACGUCAGAAGUUGACGGUGAGACAUCACAGGUUCCUUCCCCAGAGGACCACCACGGCCUCCAUUGGGAUGAGCAACGUUCUUGGAGAAGGUGCAGGGUUUACGAGAAUGCAGAGGUCCCAGAGAGGGGCAGAGGCUUCCAGAGCCCUGCAUCCAGAAAGCUGAAGGAAGAUUUGG